rnacentral:rRNA from 1 species
GAGACCCACGCCAACAGUUGCCAGCUCGUCCUCCGGGAUGGAGGGGACACUGUUGGGACCGCCUCUGCUAAAGAGGAGGAAGGAAUGGGCAACGGUAGGUCAGCAUGCCCCGAAUUAUCCGGGCUACACGCGGGCUACAAUGGUCAGGACAAUGGGUAUCGACACCGAGAGGUGAAGGCAAUCUCUUAAACCUGUCCUUAGUUCGGAUUGUGGGCUGCAACUCGCCCACAUGAAGCUGGAAUCUGUAGUAAUCGUGUCUCAACAUGGCACGGUGAAUAU